rnacentral:rRNA from 1 species
UACAGAGGGUGCGAGCGUUAAUCGGAAUUACUGGGCGUAAAGGGCGCGUAGGCGGUUAUGAGAGUGUGAUGUGAAAGCCCCGGGCUUAACCUGGGAAGUGCAUCGCAAACGCCAUAACUGGAGUAGAUGAGAGGGUGGCGGAAUUUCCGGUGUAGCGGUGAAAUGCGUAGAGAUCGUAAGGAAGGCCAGUGGCGAAGGCGAGUUCCUGGACAGUUACUGACGCUGAGGCACGAAGGCCAGGGGAGCAAAGCGGG